GGGCCGGUGGUCUAGGGGUAUGACUCGAUAGCAUAAAGCCGCCCUCACGAGGCGGAGGUCGAGGGUUCGAGUCCCUCCCGGCCCA
rnacentral:tRNA from 1 species